rnacentral:piRNA from 1 species
UGAACCUAAGUAGGUUGCCUUGAGAGUCCA